UAGCAUGCUGUCUAGGACAGCCGAUUAAUGGUGAAGCCGCGAAUGGCUCAUUACAACAGCCAUAGUUUCUUAGAUCUUACUUUUCUACUUGGAUAACUGUGGUAAUUCUAGAGCUAAUACACGCAAACAAGCUCAGACCUUACGGAAUGAGCGCAUUUAUUAGAACAAAAACCAAUCGGACUUUCGGGUCCGUCAUUUGGUGAAUCUGAAUAACUUUGCUGAUCGCACGGUCAUCGUACCGGCGACAUAUCUUUCAAAUGUCUGCCUUAUCAACUUUCGAUGGUAGUUUAUGCGCCCACCAUGGUUGUAACGGGUAACGGAGAAUAAGGGUUCGACUCCGGAGAGGGAGCCUGAGAAACGGCUACCACAUCCAAGGAAGGCAGCAGGCACGCAAAUUACCCACUCCCGGCACGGGGAGGUAGUGACGAAAAAUAACGAGACGGCUCGCUAUGCGGUCCGUCAUCGGAAUGGGUACAAUUUAAAUCCUUUAACGAGGAUCUAUU
rnacentral:rRNA from 1 species